rfam:Triticum aestivum genome assembly, contig: Triticum_aestivum_CS42_TGACv1_scaffold_593617_7BS
UUAAUACUCCAUCCAUCCCAAAAUUCUUGUUUUAAAUUUGUCUACAAACAGAUGUAUCUGGAUACGUUUUAGUGUUAUAUACAUCCGUAUCUAGAUAAAUUUAAGACAAGAAUUUUGGGACGGAUGGAGUAUUGA